UGGGAACGUACCCUUCGGUUCGGAAUAACUCAGGGAAACUUGAGCUAAUACCGGAUACGUCCGAGAGGAGAAAGAUUUAUCGCCGAAGGAUCGGCCCGCGUCUGAUUAGCUAGUUGGUGAGGUAACGGCUCACCAAGGCGACGAUCAGUAGCUGGUCUGAGAGGAUGAUCAGCCACAUUGGGACUGAGACACGGCCCAAACUCCUACGGGAGGCAG
rnacentral:rRNA from 1 species